rnacentral:rRNA from 1 species
CCCCUAGACGUUCUGGGCUGCACGCGCGCUACAAUAAUACGCACAGCGAGUAUCACCGAGCUCGAAAGGGCAAGGUAAACAAUAGAAAUGGUACUGUAAUGGUUAUAGAUCCUUGUAAUUAUUGAUCUUCAACGAGGAAUUCCUAGUAAGUAUGUGUCAUCAUCACGCACUGAUUACGUCCCUGCCCUUUGUACACACCGCCCGUCGCUCCUACCGAUUGGGUGAGCCGAUGAAACUCUCGGAUGUAGGCUAUUCAUAGCCCGCAGAAGAGAUUUGAAUCGUAGCGCUUAGAGGAAGGAGAAGUCGUAACA